rnacentral:rRNA from 1 species
GUCUGAAGGGUGUAUGGUGGAUGCCUUGACUCUGAAACGGCGAUGAAGGACGUGGCAAUCUGCGAAAAGCUCCGGGGAGGUGAUGAGCAACCUUUGAUCCGGAGGUGUCCGAAUGGGGAAACCCUCUCUCUUUUUAGAGAGAAUCUUGAACGGGUGUUCAAGAAGCAAACCUAGGGAAGUGAAACAUCUCAGUACCUAGAGGAAAAGAAACCAAUAUAUGAACCUUUUGCUUUGCUGAGUCAUCUGAUCAGCAAGGUAAAAGGUUCUGGAAUUCUCCUAGUAGCGGCGAGCGAAAAGGGAAAAGCCCAAACCGAUUGUCUUCGGACAGUCGGGGUUGUAAGGCAAAAGUGUUCCACUUGUGGAAGGAAAGUUACAAAUUAUACGUAUAGCAGAAGACGCUGGGAAGCGUGGCCCUAGAGGGUAAUAGCCCCGUAUGCGACAUUCGUAUAACUUUCUUACUUUUGUUCUUGAGUAGUCCGAGACAUGAAUAGCUCGGAUGAAUCCGCCGGGACUAACCGGCAAGGCUAAAUACGUUCAGAGAUCGAUAGUGAACCAGUACCGUGAGGGAAAGGUGAAAAGUAGUCCGAUAAGGACAGUGAAAUAGUUCUGAAACCAUACAUCUACAAAGAGUCGAAGAGGUCCUAGACCUCGACGGCGUGCCUAUUGAAGAAUGAGCCUGCGAGUUUAUGCAUGUGGCAUGGCUAAGUCCGAGAGGACGGAGCCGAAGGGAAACCGAGUGUGAAUAGCGCGCCCGCUUCGGCGGAGUCGCACGCAUAAGACCCGAAGCCAGGUGAGCUUGCCUUGGGCAGGGUGAAUCUCGCAGAAAUGCGAGAGGAGGCCCGAACCGGUAGGUCGUACAACGCCUUCGGAUGACCUGAGGUAAGGAGUGAAAAGCUAAUCGAACCUGGUAAUAGCUGGUUCUCUCCGAAACAGCUUUUGGGCUGGCGUCUGAUGUAUCUCUUGGGGGUAGAGCACUGGAAGGGAUGAACAGGGAGAAAUCUCGUCAUUCCUAUCAAACUCCGAAUACCAAUGAGCAAUUAUCAGGCAGUUAGACUAUGGGGGCUAAGCUCCAUCAGUCGAGAAGGGAAGAGCCUAGAUCUCAAGUUAAGGUCCCUAAAUCUACGUUAAGUGCAUCUUAAGGAAGUGAGAACUCUAAGACAGUGAGGAUGUUGGCUUAGAAGCAGCCAUCAUUUAAAGAAAGCGUAACAGCUCACUCAUCGAGAGUUCUUGCGCCGAAGAUAAUCGGGGCUAAACGUAGUACCGAAACUGAGGAUGCAUUCAUAUUUAUAUGAGUGCGUGGUAGGAGAGCGUUCUUUGCCGCUAUGAAGGAAAAGGGGUGACCCAUUCUGGAGCGCAAGGAAGUGAGAAUGCAGGCACAAGUAACCACAAUGCGGGUGAGAACCCCGCACAUCGAAAGACCGAGGUUUCCUUAGCAAUGAUAAUCAACUAAGGGUUAGUCGGGCCUAAGGGGAUGGCGAAAGCCGCAACCGAUGGACACAUGGUUAAUAUUCCAUGACUUCGACAUAGUGCGAUGGAGAGACGAAGGGCUGUACACGCUGCACACAAUUGGAUGUGUGUUAGUGCCGUGAGGGGGUAUCCUAGGAAAAUCCGGGAUACGCUACUCCGAGCGGAGCAACAAUUUUCUGCUACGGUAGAAGAGAGAGUGUGGAGCGCGCUUCCGAGAAAAUCUUCUAAGCUUCAGCUAUGUGGAACCCGUACCGCAAACCGACACAGGUGGUCUGGUCGAGAAGACUAAGAUGAACGAGUGAGAGGUCCUCAAGGAACUCGGCAAAAAAGCGGCCGUAACUUCGGGAUAAGGCCUGCCUCUCUAGCAAUAGAGAGGCCGCAGCGAAAGAUUCCCUGGCAACUGUUUACCAAAAACACAGCUCCCUGCGAACUCGUAAGAGGNNNNNNNNNNNNNNNNNNNNNNNNNNNNNNNNNNNNNNNNNNNNNNNNNNNAGCCCUGGUCAAUGUCGGCGAUAACUAUAAUCGUCCUAAGGUAGCGUAAUUCCUUGUCUGGUAAGUUCAGACGUGCACGAAUGGCGUAAUGACUGGGGAACUGUCUCGAGGACUUGCUCGGUGAAAAUACAAUACCGGUGAAGAUGCCGGUUACCUAUGGUUAGACGAAAAGACCCCAGGAGCUUUACUGCAGUUUCACAUUGGGGCUGCGGUGUUCAUGCGUAGCAUAGGUGGGAGACUUUGAAGCAUCGGUUUUGGCUGAUGUGGAGUCGCCAGUGCAAUACCACCCUUGGACAGUGCAGUUCCUAACCUAGAGACAACACUCUGGAGACAGUGUGUGACAGGCAGUUUUAGUGGGGCGCUAUCCUCCUAAAGAGUAGCGGAGGAGCCUACAAAGGUCAGCUAGGCGCGAAUGGAAACCGUGCCGGUCGUGUAAUGGCACAAGCUGGCUUAACUGUGAGACGUAAGUGUCGAGCAGACACGAAAGUGGAGCAUAAUGAANNNNNNNNNNNNNNNNNNNNNNNNNAAAAGUUACCCUGGGGAUAACAGGCUGGUACCGCCCAAGCGUCCAUAGCGACGGCGGUGUUCGGCACCUCGAUGUCGGCUCACCACAUCCUGGAGCUGGAGAAGGUUCCAAGGGUUUGGCUGUUCGCCAAUUAAAGUGGUACGCGAGCUGGGUUCAGACCGUUUAGAAGAUAGGCGCUAGGAAAUUAGGCGCUAGGCGCUAGCAAAAAAGCUAGUUCCUAGAGCCUAAAGCCUAACCUGCUGUCUUUUAGACCGUCUGAAUCCCGCACAUAACAGACAUACAAAAUCGGGCUUUUCGUUUAAUGCAAUAUAAGAUAGAAACUAACCAUCACGGCGGUGGCGUAUAGUAAUAUGCGUCAUUGAUGUGUGCUAAUUUCGGUAAAAUCCCACCCAUAUUUUGUAUGGAGGACAAUACCGAGGGAAGUGAAUGAAAUUACGAAUAAAAAGUAGCAAUACUCUUUACCUCAUUCGCGCCCGUAGAGACUGAACGCACACUAUCCUACUCUGUUAGGAUAAAGCUACAGUCCGAUCCUUCGAGUAAUCGGAGUUAACGAAAUGCGUGAGACAGGUUGGUCUCCUAUCUACCAUAGGCGUGGAUUUUUGAGGGGAGUUGUUCUUAGUACGAGAGGACCAGAAUGAACUGACCUCUGGUCUGUCUGUUGUCACGCCAGUGGCACUGCAGAGUAGCUAUGUCAGGAAUGGAUAACCGCUGAAGGCAUCUAAGCGGGAAGCCAACCCCAAGAUUAGAAAUCGUUUGAGGCCCCUAGGAGAUGACUAGGUUGAUAGGCUCUAUGUGUACGUACAGUGAUGUACUUAGCAGAGGAGUACUAAUUCGCCGAUCU